rnacentral:rRNA from 1 species
GGCAGCGCGGGGCAACCUGGCGGCGAGUGGCGAACGGGUGAGUAAUAUAUCGGAACGUACCCAAGAGUGGGGGAUAACGUAGCGAAAGUUACGCUAAUACCGCAUACGAUCUAAGGAUGAAAGCAGGGGACCGCAAGGCCUUGUGCUCCUGGAGCGGCCGAUAUCUGAUUAGCUAGUUGGUAGGGUAAAGGCCUACCAAGGCUACGAUCAGUAGCUGGUCUGAGAGGACGACCAGCCACACUGGAACUGAGACACGGUCCAGACUCCUACGGGAGGCAGCAGUGGGGAAUUUUGGACAAUGGGCGCAAGCCUGAUCCAGCAAUGCCGCGUGAGUGAAGAAGGCCUUCGGGUUGUAAAGCUCUUUUGUCAGGGAAGAAACGGUGCGAGCUAAUAUCUCCCGCUAAUGACGGUACCUGAAGAAUAAGCACCGGCUAACUACGUGCCAGCAGCGGCGGU